rnacentral:rRNA from 1 species
CUGCAUCGUCGGAACAUCCUGGGCCUCUUUCUCAAGCUCGAUAUUUCAAAGGCUUUUGACUAAGUAAACUGGGCCUUCUUGCUCGAGGUCAUGCAACGCCUGGGGUUUGGACAACGUUGGCGGGACUGGAUCUGCCUCUCCUUGUCUUCUUCUUCGUCAACGGUGCUUCUUAACGGAAACCCCGGCAGAAAGUUCAGCCACGCAAAAGGCCUUUGCUAGGGCGAUCCAAUAUCACCUAUGCUUUUCAUCCUGGCCAUUGACCCGCUAUAGCAGAUCCUUCAACUUGCCUCCCGGCAAGGCAUCCUAAAGCCCAUUCGUGCAAGGACGGCCAGAUGCAGGAUAUCCCUUUACGCCAAUGAUGCGGGCAUUUUUGCGAACCCACACAAGGACGAGCUACGCGCGAUUUCGGCAACACUGCAGACUUUUGGAGACGCAAGCGGACUUUUCACAAACUUGACCAAGACUGAGGUCUUCCCGAUUAGAUGUGCGGGCAUUGACCUUCAAGAUGUGCUAUCAGUCUUCCCCGCCAAGAUCGCCACCUUCCCGGGACGUUAUUUGGGGCUACCAAUGCAUUUUCGCCGGCUAAGAGGGAUUGAUCUGCAACCUUUCAUUGACAGAUUCACGGGUAGGCUGCCUGGAUGGAAAGGAAAACUCCUCAACAAACCCGGGAGGGUGGCUCUUGCGAAAUCCGUUCUCACAGCCAUGGCAACCUUCCACAUCACCGCCCUUAACCUGUCAAAGGGGACCCUGUGA